GCCUAGUUAGCUUAGUUGGUAGUGCGUCUGCCUUGUAAGCGCUAGGCCGCGGGUUCGAUUCCCGCCCGGCG
rnacentral:tRNA from 1 species